GGAUGUGAAGGUGAUCUGGCUGUGACAUCUGUCACCCCAGUGAUUGCUAUGGUUGAUUUGGCUCAUCUGGCUGGCUAGGCGGUGUCCCCUUCCUCCCUUACCCCUGCAUGUGCAUCCCUCCCAAAGCUGUACACUCAGUUGAAGAGGAUGACCAUCCCCAAUAGAGGAGGAUAUCUUCGGUCAAGGGUAUACGAGUAGCUGCGCUCCCCUGCUACAAUCUCCAAACAAGCUCUCAAGGUCCAGAGACAUGAUGUGAACUUCAGGUCUCAGUUGAUGAUCACGUGGUUGUAUGGAGGUGCAG
ensembl:misc_RNA 7SK 7SK RNA